rnacentral:lncRNA from 1 species
AGGUGAUACAGCUGGAGAGGCUGAGCUUUAAAUACCCUUUAAGUAGACUUAAUAGGAACGUUGCCUUUCUACGUUAGCAGUUGCACACGGCUUAUUUAGUCAUCUUGAGACUCUCCAGGUUCUUGCUAUUUGAAAAGCUCCCUUGAACUGCAAAGAUGUGUGACCAGACCUUUUUAGCAGAGGUAUUUGGUCCAUGUGACAAGUGCUCCAAAGACAAGCCUCUUAGGCCUGUUUACGUCGAAUCAGAACAACUCAGCUACUGCUCGCUAUGUGUGGAAAUGUCUUGGCACAUCUCCAGGUUGAACAAUAGCCCUUGGAAUGUAAGUUUUCUGGCUAAAGGGAGACAAUGGGAGUCAAUAUGAGCAAAGUUACUCCAUGUAAAUCAAGGGCAAUUACU